UAAUGUAUAUAAAUAAGGAGCUAUGCUCUAACAUAACUCCUUAUCCGUAGCCCGUUUAAGACGGUAGCUUGGAUUUUAUAUAAGUUUUA
rnacentral:sRNA from 1 species